rnacentral:rRNA from 1 species
UCAGCGUCUGAAAAAAUUAAUAAUUACAACUUUCAACAACGGAUCUCUUGGUUCUGGCAUCGAUGAAGAACGCAGCGAAAUGCGAUAAGUAGUGUGAAUUGCAGAAUUCAGUGAAUCAUCGAAUCUUUGAACGCACAUUGCGCCCCUUGGUAUUCCAUGGGGCAU